CCUACGGGAGGCAGCAGUGGGGGAUAUUGCACAAUGGGGGGAACCCUGAUGCAGCGACGCCGCGUGGGUGAAGAAGCGCCUCGGCGCGUAAAGCCCUGUCAGCAGGGAAGAAAAUGACGGUACCUGAAGAAGAAGCCCCGGCUAACUACGUGCCAGCAGCCGCGGUAAUACGUAGGGGGCAAGCGUUAUCCGGAUUUACUGGGUGUAAAGGGGGCGCAGACGGCGAUGCAAGCCAGGAGUGAAAGCCCGUGGCCCAACCCCGGGACUGCUCUUGGAACUGCGUGGCUGGAGGGCAGGAGGGGCAGGCGGAAUUCCUGGUGUAGCGGUGAAAUGCGUAGAUAUCAGGAGGAACACCGGUGGCGAAGGCGGCCUGCUGGACUGCAACUGACGUUGAGGCCCGAAAGCGUGGGGAGCAAACAGGAUUAGAUACCCGUGUAGUC
rnacentral:rRNA from 1 species